AGAGUUUGAUCAUGGCUCAGGACGAACGCUGGCGGCGUGCUUAACACAUGCAAGUCGAACGAUGAAGUUUUCUUCGGAAGAUGGAUUAGUGGCGAACGGGUGAGGAACACGUGAAGAAUCUGCCCUUCACUUCGGGAUAACUCCGGGAAACCGGGGCUAAUACCGGAUAUUGAUACAUAAGCGGCAUCGCUGAGUAUUGAAAGAAUUUUGGUGAAGGAUGACUUCGCGGCCUAUCAGCUUGUUGGUGAGGUAAUGGCUCACCAAGGCAACGACGGGUAGCCGGCCUGAGAGGGCGACCGGCCACACUGGGACUGAGACACGGCCCAGACUCCUACGGGAGGCAGCAGUGGGGAAUAUUGGGCAAUGGACGCAAGUCUGACCCAGCGACGCCGCGUGCGGGAUGAAGGCCUUCGGGUUGUAAACCGCUUUCAGUAGGGAAGAAGCGAAAGUGACGGUACCUACAAAAGAAGCACCGGCUAACUAUGUGCCAGCAGCCGCGGUAAUACAUAGGGUGCAAGCGUUGUCCGGAUUUAUUGGGCGUAAAGAGCUCGUAGGUGGUUAGUUACGUCGGAUGUGAAAAUCAGAGGCUCAACCUCUGACCUGCAUCCGAUACGGGUUAACUAGAGUGUGGUAGGGGAGACUGGAAUUCCUGGUGUAGCGGUGGAAUGCGCAGAUAUCAGGAGGAACACCAAUGGCGAAGGNAGGUCUCUGGGCCAUUACUGACACUGAGGAGCGAAAGUGCGGGGAGCGAACAGGAUUAGAUACCCUGNAGUCCGCACCGUAAACNAUGGANGCUAGUNGNGGGAACCUUCCAC
rnacentral:rRNA from 1 species